rnacentral:rRNA from 1 species
UACACUCUACGGGAGGCAGCAGUGGGGAAUUUUGGACAAUGGGCGAAAGCCUGAUCCAGCCAUGCCGCGUGCAGGAUGAAGGCCUUCGGGUUGUAAACUGCUUUUGUACGGAACGAAACGGCCUUUUCUAAUAAAGAGGGCUAAUGACGGUACCGUAAGAAUAAGCACCGGCUAACUACGUGCCAGCAGCCGCGGUAAUACGUAGGGUGCAAGCGUUAAUCGGAAUUACUGGGCGUAAAGCGUGCGCAGGCGGUUAUGUAAGACAGUUGUGAAAUCCCCGGGCUCAACCUGGGAACUGCAUCUGUGACUGCAUAGCUAGAGUACGGUAGAGGGGGAUGGAAUUCCGCGUGUAGCAGUGAAAUGCGUAGAUAUGCGGAGGAACACCGAUGGCGAAGGCAAUCCCCUGGACCUGUACUGACGCUCAUGCACGAAAGCGUGGGGAGCAAACAGGAUUAGAAACCCCGGUAGUCCCAUG